rnacentral:lncRNA from 1 species
CGCUUGUCUUGUUGUUCUGUGGAGUAAUUCCUUUCAUGAAAUUACUGGUAGUAGCCACAAACUGGCUAACGAGGGUCUCUAACCAGAAAGAAAGGACUUAUCAAUAAAUAGCUUUUACUCGCUGCUGAACUUAUUUAUACAAAAAUGGGCUGUUAGGAAGAAGUAGAGAGUUCUAUAUGAUUAUCAUUCAGUAGUAAAUCAACCAAAUCAAAACUUACAAGCACAAUAAAGGCAAGGAAGCAGGGAUCUCAGGCAUGUCAAGUUUUCCCUGGAGGGAAAUGGCAGAGUCGGGAAAGCACAGAAGCCACGUGAUCAUAACGUUAUCCGUAACGUUCAGCUCAUCUCCACUGGUGUCAAUUAGCGAGCAGUUGCAAAGAAGAAAUAGUGGUUGUCAUUCUUAUAGAAAAGCUGGCCUAGAAUUAGAACACAAAAGAAGACUGGCGGUGGUGGAGGGAGUGCGAUUCUUCUCCCCGUUCUCUGCAGACAUAUCCUUAAGAAUGCGAUAAACUGCCGCAACCUGGCCUCCAACUGAAUGAAGAGUGUUUAAACAAGGAAGACCGCACUUACAUUCUCUUCUGCCUACGUCUAACCCAGACCUACACAGGGAGAAGAACUCUGAGAGAGGAAGUCCCAUCUCGGUGUAGCAGAUGCAUUGCCAACACCUGUAAAUGUGGAGCAACAUGUUCUCGUCUUCUUGAAACUAAGACCUACGGUCUUGAAAUGUGCUAUUCAUAGAGAUUAACUGCUGCACUAUACAGUGAUCUGGGCCCUGGAGGAAACGAGAUGAGUUUGCAGGAAUUUAGGGACAAGUUUUGUCGUGGGAGAAACACAGUUACUUUUCCAGACAAUAGGGCGGAGCUGAUACUACAGAGGCUCUGGCCCUGGGAUGGGUCUGCAGGCAGAUGGGAAUACGCCCCCGUCUGGCGUUCCUGCAGGGGCAACGAGGGAGCCUUUCUCUGGAGGCGUUUCAUUCUCCUGGUCUAUACACAGGACACUGUCUGGUGUUUGCUCUCAGCCUCCAAUGGACUCACGUCCCUCUCCUGUGGCUCUGGAGUGUGUAUCCACACCAUGUGGUGGUGUCCAGAGGCAGAGGACUGAGGAUCAUCUGGAGACUUCAUGAUCAGAGAAGCACAUGUGCCUUUCCAACUGGGGUGUGAGGCCUGCUGGCUGCUGUGACCCUACAAACUGUUACUGCUGCACGAGAGAUGAGUACCAGUCUUAAGUGUGUCUUGCACAUACUAUACAGCAA